UAGUGGCGAACGGGUGAGUAACACGUGGGCAAUCUGCCCUUCACUCUGGGACAAGCCCUGGAAACGGGGUCUAAUACCGGAUAACACUCUGUCCCGCAUGGGACGGGGUUGAAAGCUCCGGCGGUGAAGGAUGAGCCCGCGGCCUAUCAGCUUGUUGGUGGGGUGAUGGCCUACCAAGGCGACGACGGGUAGCCGGCCUGAGAGGGCGACCGGCCACACUGGGACUGAGACACGGCCCAGACUCCUACGGGAGGCAGCAGUGGGGAAUAUUGCACAAUGGGCGAAAGCCUGAUGCAGCGACGCCGCGUGAGGGAUGACGGCCUUCGGGUUGUAAACCUCUUUCAGCAGGGAAGAAGCGAGAGUGACGGUACCUGCAGAAGAAGCGCCGGCUAACUACGUGCCAGCAGCCGCGGUAAUACGUAGGGCGCAAGCGUUGUCCGGAAUUAUUGGGCGUAAAGAGCUCGUAGGCGGCUUGUUGCGUCGGUUGUGAAAGCCCGGGGCUUAACCCCGGGUCUGCAGUCGAUACGGGCAGGCUAGAGUGUGGUAGGGGAGAUCGGAAUUCCU
rnacentral:rRNA from 7 species